GCUAAACCAUGCACCGAAGCUGCGGCAGCGACGCUGAUGCGUUGUUGGGUAGGGGAGCGUUCUGUAAGCCUGUGAAGGUGGCCUGUGAGGGUUGCUGGAGGUAUCAGAAGUGCGAAUGCUGACAUAAGUAACGAUAAAGCGGGUGAAAAGCCCGCUCGCCGGAAGACCAAGGGUUCCUGUCCAACGUUAAUCGGGGCAGGGUGAGUCGACCCCUAAGGCGAGGCCGAAAGGCGUAGUCGAUGGGAAACGGGUUAAUAUUCCCGUACUUGGUGUUACUGCGAAGGGGGGACGGAGAAGGCUAUGUUGGCCGGGCGACGGUUGUCCCGGUUUAAGCGUGUAGGUGUGUGUUCCAGGUAAAUCCGGUUCACUUUAACACUGAGGCGUGAUGACGAGGCACUACGGUGCUGAAGCAACAAAUGCCCUGCUUCCAGGAAAAGCCUCUAAGCAUCAGGUAACAUCAAAUCGUACCCCAAACCGACACAGGUGGUCAGGUAGAGAAUACCAAGGCGCUUGAGAGAACUCGGGUGAAGGAACUAGGCAAAAUGGUGCCGUAACUUCGGGAGAAGGCACGCUGACACGUAGGUGAAGUGAUUUACUCAUGGAGCUGAAGUCAGUCGAAGAUACCAGCUGGCUGCAACUGUUUAUUAAAAACACAGCACUGUGCAAACACGAAAGUGGACGUAUACGGUGUGACGCCUGCCCGGUGCCGGAAGGUUAAUUGAUGGGGUCAGCGCAAGCGAAGCUCCUGAUCGAAGCCCCGGUAAACGGCGGCCGUAACUAUAACGGUCCUAAGGUAGCGAAAUUCCUUGUCGGGUAAGUUCCGACCUGCACGAAUGGCGUAAUGAUGGCCAGGCUGUCUCCACCCGAGACUCAGUGAAAUUGAACUCGCUGUGAAGAUGCAGUGUACCCGCGGCAAGACGGAAAGACCCCGUGAACCUUUACUAUAGCUUGACACUGAACAUUGAGCCUUGAUGUGUAGGAUAGGUGGGAGGCUUUGAAGUGUGGACGCCAGUCUGCAUGGAGCCGGCCUUGAAAUACCACCCUUUAAUGUUUGAUGUUCUAACGUGGACCCGUGAUCCGGGUUGCGGACAGUGUCUGGUGGGUAGUUUGACUGGGGCGGUCUCCUCCUAAAGAGUAACGGAGGAGCACGAAGGUUGGCUAAUCCUGGUCGGACAUCAGGAGGUUAGUGCAAUGGCAUAAGCCAGCUUGACUGCGAGCGUGACGGCGCGAGCAGGUGCGAAAGCAGGUCAUAGUGAUCCGGUGGUUCUGAAUGGAAGGGCCAUCGCUCAACGGAUAAAAGGUACUCCGGGGAUAACAGGCUGAUACCGCCCAAGAGUUCAUAUCGACGGCGGUGUUUGGCACCUCGAUGUCGGCUCAUCACAUCCUGGGGCUGAAGUAGGUCCCAAGGGUAUGGCUGUUCGCCAUUUAAAGUGGUACGCGAGCUGGGUUUAGAACGUCGUGAGACAGUUCGGUCCCUAUCUGCCGUGGGCGCUGGAGAACUGAGGGGGGCUGCUCCUAGUACGAGAGGACCGGAGUGGACGCAUCACUGGUGUUCGGGUUGUCAUGCCAAUGGCACUGCCCGGUAGCUAAAUGCGGAAGAGAUAAGUGCUGAAAGCAUCUAAGCACGAAACUUGCCCCGA
rnacentral:rRNA from 1 species